rnacentral:rRNA from 1 species
AUACGGAGGGUGCAAGCGUUAUUCGGAAUCACUGGGCGUAAAGGGUGCGUAGGCGGUUUGAUAAGUCUGAUGUGAAAUCCUAUGGCUCAACCAUAGAACUGCAUUGGAAACUGUCAGACUAGAAUACUGAAGGGGCAGAUGGAAUUAGUGGUGUAGGGGUAAAAUCCGUAGAUAUCACUAGGAAUACCGAAAGCGAAAGCGAUCUGCUGGGAAGUUAUUGACGCUGAGGCACGAAAGCGUGGGGAGCAAACGGAAUUAGAAACCCUAGUAGUCC